rnacentral:sRNA from 1 species
UUUGCCACACACAAUACCACAAUCUUUAGUUUUUUGCCAAAUUUCUUCGCGAUCGGUCGCGUCCGUGUAAAAGGCAACGAAAUUGUCCAAUAUUUGUGACAUUUUAUUUGCUAUGGUUUCAUUCGAGUUGUGUGCAAAUUCGAGAAUCGAGUGCCAAGUGAAAUGAUAUCCCCGUUAAGUUUUCGUCGUUUAGGUAUUUUGUAUGUGUUGUGCGAGUUGUCAUUCGGAGAAAAUACUGAUGCAAAAUUUUAAAGCAAUGGAAUACAAAACUAUUCAGCUUCUAAAAAAUAUUAAAGUUUGCACCAUUCAAGCUUCAAGGUUUAAAAAAUGAAAAUGAGAAAAAUGGCUACCUGUUGUGUGAAAAGUAUUUGUU